UACGGGGGGAGCAAGCGUUGUUCGGAAUCACUGGGCGUAAAGGGCGUGUAGGCGGUUCGGUAAGUGGGAUGUGAAAUCCCCGGGCUCACCCCGGGACCUGCAUCCCAAACUGCUGAGCUUGAGUACAGGAGAGGGUGGGGGAAUUCCAGGUGUAGCGGUGAAAUGCGUAGAUAUCUGGAGGAACACCGGUGGCGAAGGCGCCCACCUGGCCUGCUACUGACGCUGAUGCGCGAAAGCUAGGGGAGCAAACGGG
rnacentral:rRNA from 1 species